GAGUUAUCAAGUAACUCUAUGAGAAUACGGUAACGUUAUAAAUAACAUGUAAAGUAUACAGUAAAAUAGCGUUACCGUAUUCUCCUAGGGUUACUUGAUAACUCUCUAUUGUCUGGUGAUUUUUAGUUUUUUGACCUGGCAACCUUGUCCUAUCCUAACUGAACAAAACAAAGUCGGGAACAAUGGAUUAAUGGAUAUUAUGUAAAAGCCAUAAGAAGAACAGAACUAAUAUUAAAAUAUGAAAGAAUAUGCAAUAAACAUUGUAUAAAAGUGGAAAGCCAGCCACUUUAAAAAGAUAUUCCAAACUAAAACAUGGGUUACCAAAGCAGGCAAUAAAAAGAAAAGGUGAUCUAGAAUGCAAGAGAAGAGCUGAUGAAAGAAGUAAAUGUAAAGAAAAUAAUGAAGAGACUUCUCUGGACCAUGAACAAACACCAGCUAUUUUAUAUAUGUAGAAAAAGGAAAAACUGCUGGAACUUUAAUUUAAAGGCUUUUGACUAGUGAAGAUUUGGAUAAACAACAGGAGUUACUUUGGGCUAUAGCUACGUGCAAAUUUAUUUUCUUGUGGCUUCCUAUGUUUAUUCUUAUUAACUAUAUCUACACUUUGAUAUGUUUUUAGUCGCAUGAAGAUUUUAUAGUUUAUUAUUUUAUGUAUAUUGUUAUAUUUGUGUUGAAUAAACAUUAUUAUUAUUAUUA